GGAAAAGUCACUCUGAAAUAUUCAAGUUAAUUCAUUGAAGUAAAUGUGAGAGUGACUAAACGGUUCAGAUAUAAGAGAAAUUCUAAGUGAUAAAUAUCUGAAGAAGAUGGUUCUUGACAUAAGCACGCAGGCGAUAGAGGCAAAUAUAAAGAAAAUAUAUGCUAAGAUAAGAGAAUUUGAAGAAGAAUUAGAGAACAAUGCCGAUUAUGAAACCUGCAAUAGAAUUCAGGCUGAAAUUAGUAAAAUGAGCGCUUAUCUUGUACAGAUAUUAGGCUUACUAAAGAAGCAAUGAAAACUGAAACAAAGUCAUUGGGACCCAAAGAAGGCAAUACAGUGGAUCGAAUUCAGGCCCACUUCCACGUAACCUUCCACGGAUGGAAUUAAGAAACUCUUAUACUCGUAUACUUCCAUGAACUAUCAAAAAUGAAACAAAUGGAUUAGGAUCCAAACAAAGACAGUGACACGAAGGCAUCCAAAGCCAGAUACAAAUCUCAGCCGAUCGAUCAGUGGAUUAUAUUCAGGCUCACUUGCACGUAACCUUCCACGGAAAACACUUACAAGUUCUUAGAUUCGUACUACCACUACCCCACACGGCACUAAGAAACUCUUAUACUCGUAUACUUCCAUGAACUAUCAAAAAUGAAACAAAUGGAUUAUGAUCUAAACAAAGACAGUGACACGAAGGCAUCCAAAGCAAGAUACAAAUCUCAGCCGAUCGAUCAGUGGAUUAUAUUCAGGCUCACUUGCACGUAACCUUCCACGGAAAACACUUACAAGUUCUUAGAUUCGUACUACCACUACCCCACACGGCACUAAGAAACUCUUAUACUCGUAUACUUCCAUGAACUAUCAAAAAUGAAACAAAUGGAUUAUGAUCUAAACAAAGACAGUGACACGAAGGCAUCCAAAGCAAGAUACAAAUCUCAGCCGAUCGAUCAGUGGAUUAUAUUCAGGCUCACUUGCACGUAACCUUCCACGGAAAGCACUUACAAGUUCUUAGAUUCGUACUACCACUACCCCACACGGCACUAAGAAACUCUUAUACUCGUAAACUUCCAUGAACUAUCAAAAAUGAAACAAAUGGAUCCAAACAAAGACAGUGACACGAAGGCAUCCAAAGCAAGAUACAAAUCUCAGCCGAUCGAUCAGUGGAUUAUAUUCAGGCUCACUUGCACGUAACUUACAAGUUCUUAGAUUCGUACUACCACACAACAUAAAGCAGUUUAUUACUUUAGAUACUAGUAUAUAUACGUACAGUAUUAUGGCGGACAACAGAGAGAACAUUUUUGAAUGGAACGGAUUCCUGACGCCGGUUAAUGCAAUAAAUACCUCAACUAAAUAGAUUCCAUUGACAAUAAAACAAGUUACUCCCA
rnacentral:sRNA from 1 species